AUGCCAAUUUAAAGAUGUGCUUUUGCUUUAGGUCUGAUUGUUAUGUGACGGUAACCAGAAUCUAUGGGUCAUGGGUCGCGGAUUUCUUUUCUUUCUAGACACGAGUCUUACCUGGAAACCUCAGAUCGUAUUGCACGAACCUGUACAAAAUUAGCCCCCAUUUUCCAAAUCUCGAAUUUUUCCUUUUAACUUGUUUCGCAUUUAUUUCACGUGAUUCCAACGAAGUAAUAAUUGACGUCAGAAAGUCCCAGAAACGACCUUAAAAAAUUCAAUUUUCUACUGGCCCUCAUCUUCUAAGAAUUGAACGUUUAAAAGUUCCUGGAUUGUCUAGUUGUUCCAGACGUUGUUUCAAAGUAUCGUUUGAAUAUCGUAUUUAGUUUAGGAAAUAAUUCGCAAAAACUAUAACUAUAACAAGACUGUGGAUACUUUUUUUUCAUUUUGACAACGAUAAUAUACGGAAAAGGAUUCCUUUGGAACACGUACUAACGCGUAUUUUACUAUUGCGUCGACGAUGCUCGCUGACGACGACCACGUAAAAGUAAAGUCACCUUUGUAUUCGCGUUCCGGUCUUCAAACUUUUGUUCUAAGUCAUUCCAGGGGAUUAAGUACCUGUUCCAAAAGAAAAACCUUUCACUGUACGCUAUUGCUGCCAGAACGUGAAGAAAUGUUCAUAGUUUCACGGGCACAGUUUUUGCAAAUUAUUUCCUAAACUGAAUACGACGUUGAAAUAAUAUUAGGUUGUCGCAAAAGUUUCUUUCGUCUUAUACGGAAAUAAUAAAUUUUUAUUUUUUAUUUUAUACUAUAACUGGACAAAUUCAGAACAAUUUUCAAACGUUCGGUUAAACAAAAAAAAUGGCAUUGUUUCUGAAACCUUUCGAGACAGAUCAUUCUUUCUUUGGAACGACGUAGAGCAGUCGUAGAAUAAUUUACAACAACAACAACGAAUCCAAAAUUUUCAAAUUUACCGGACUAACUUUACACCGAUAGUGGACGAAGCAGUGUUAAAUUUAUCAGUGCUAAGUGUAACAGUCUGAUUUUGUUGAUUACAGAUUUUCGUUACUAGUGUUUGGUCCAAUUUUUUGGUCCAAAAAAAUUAGAAUUAUUACAAUUAUAACAUAACACAUAUAACACAAUAUAAUAUAAUUAUAUAAAUUAAAGUUAGAUAAAACUGUUUUUGAGCGAAUACUGAAAAGCUUUUCAGAGUACGAAAUUCGAGCCGCUUGGCGUAUGCUCGCUCGAGGUAAGCUUUUACCUACGCAAAAUCUCUGAAAAUCAUUUUCGAUGCUCCAAGCGCCUUCUGUGCUUUCGCGAUGGCAACAGUUAGCUCGUGUGAACGGAACUCGGUGGGAAGGCACGCGUCCAAGAUCAGCGAGAAUACAACACUCGCUUUGUCGUACACAGAUUAAAGCAACGAUGAUGACGCUGGUCGCGUCGCGAUUUACAAUCGCAUUAACCACGUCGAUAUAUUAUCGCGAGGUUAUCUCCGUAUCGUAGCGCCGCGACGCUAAGUAAGAUCUGCGACGAAAAGCGUCAAAACAAGUUCUAUCGAUCGUUCUUGAAAAAUGGCAUCCUUUGCUUUUCAUCUAACCGAUAUUUCGUCUGGCGUACCAUCGAAAAUCACGUAUGAGCUCUUUUUAGACGCUGUGCGUUCUAAUUUCGAGAGGAGAUAAAUAUAUAUACUCGUCGAUGAGCUAGAUCCGUGCGGCUUGAGCCAAGAAGAAUGAUGCUUGUACAGCGUGUGACACAGAACGUGUGACAAUUGGAUGAUUUUGGUGAUUUACGUGCGUAGAUAAAACGAGAGAUGAAACUUGCUAGGCAGAAGUUUGUUAUUCCUUGGUAAUAAUGCACGAUCGAAUUGUACGUCAUCGACGUGUAAUUUCGUAGAAGUACGAGUGUUGCAUAAAUGAUGUAUAAAUGAUUAUUAGAUAGUAAGAAGAAUUUGGGAUAAAUAUAUGAAGAAAAUGAUACGAAGAAUUGUAAAUAAUCGAUAGAUUAGAUUUGAUCGUGCAUAGAUCUUCAAACCUUCAAAGCGUAAAUUAAAAUUAAAUUGGAUAUUUCUGGAAAUAUAAAUAAUAUAAAAGAUAUGUUAUUAAAUAAGGCUGAGUAUUUCGGGUAGAUAUAUUUUUAUAUUUGUAUAAAAAAGAUGUAGAGGAAGAAGUGAUUACGAAGUGAUAAACUUUUCUCUUUUAAUAGAACAGUAUGUUGGUGAAAAUGCAUAAGCAUAAGUCACAUUCUAACAACUUCAUUAUACGAUAAUACGUAGUCGCUCAGGGUCAACGAAGGUCGUAGGUAAAGAGAAAGUAGUUAUAUCUCUUCAACCUGAUGUGCGAGAAGAUAAAUUGCCAACUUUCGUCUUGCGAAUAUUUCGCAAUUAAUUUUCUUCCUGACUACGUUUUCCUUACAUAAUUCAAAUAUAGCAUCGCAAAUGGAAUUAUAAACUUUGAAUACUAACAGCUUCACCAUUAUUAUUAUUAAGUUAAUAAUCGAGUAAUUCUUUCUUCGCUAAUUCUUCUUCUUUGCUUGCAAUCCACGAUGCUCAACGUUUAUACAUCUACGAUAAUUAAAUUCUCUAGAUUACAGAUUACACUGAUGCGUAUUUGAAAGUCUGCUGACAUGUACAAAUAAGUCAUCAGCCUUGAAACCACGACUGUAAUAAAUCAAAGUAAUUGCCUUCCAUAUAAAAAACAUUUCUUCAUAUUCAUAAAAAUGUAAUUGUGCGAAUAUCUGUAUGCUUAUGGGAAAUUAAACCAGAUCUCAUAAUUAGAUAUGAAAUAAAUAUGAAAUGGGUAAAUACAGAUAAAUGUAUGAAUUUAUCACAAACGUACACGAUUCUAGAUACACGAAAUUGCUAAGAUGCUUGUUCAAAAAUUUAACAGCGUAUAACAAAUAAAACAAAUCUCUGCGUACAAUUUCUAGAAAUAUAAAAUUACAUCAUCAGGAUAUAGAUAGCGUCUAGACGGAACCUAUGUUUUUUGAAAUCCAUAUUUAUUAGUCGCGUUUCUUCGCGAGCGAAUGUUGAUAGAUUCGAAAUUCGAGCUUGAAUAGAAAUAACAUUUAACGUAAUCCACUGUUUCGUUGCGGCUGCUUGCGAAAUAUCGCGAUCACGUGUAAACAAUGUGGGGGGAUAAGCUAUGCGAGACGCGUAGUACGAACGUAAAUUUCAAAGGUUUUUUUAGAAGCGAUGGAAUUAUAAUAUUCUAGUUUAUGCGUUAGUUGCUCGAUUCGCGCGUGUAGCCUGUGAUUGGCGUAGCUACGAAUCAGUUUAAGAUAAUUCGUUCAACCGAUUAAUGAUGACGAUGUGAGGGAUAAAUUGAUUGGACGCGUUGAUACGGAAUAUUAGAUACAGAUUUAUGACACUGUCUACGCGAACGAAAGCUUAAAAGUUGCUUCAAAAUUUGCAUAUGUUUUAGGUGAAAAAAGUUAGGGUAAUUUAUUGCUAUUGUUUUGAAAUAAUUCAUCGAUUACGAAAGAGUCAUUGUAUCGUUGUCCAAAGAAUUUUUUUCGUUUUAUAAGGAAAUAAUAGACGCGCAACGUUUUUUGUUUUAUAUUAGUUUAUUGAAUUAUGCACGAUCAUAAUAAUAGAAAUAGAACGAAAUGUGUCAUAAAUUCGAUAAAAUUCUAAUUCAAAUAAUUCUAAUUCAAUAAAAUAAUAUAAAACAGAAAUUGUUGUUCAUCUAUUAUCGCCUUAUGAAACGAAAGAAACUUUCCGGACAACCUAAUAUUAGACGCAAUUUAUAAGAGUUGAAUUAAAUAUAAAAAUAUAAAAUUAAAUACACAGAUGAUCUACCAAUAGCACGUCUUUGAAAAUGUACACUGGUUUUUGCAAUAAUCACGUUAGCGUUGUAAUUUUCGUUGUAUCGAACAUAUGCCGUGACCCUCUUUUCGUUUACAGAAUUACGGGAGUCGUUAAUGAUCCGUGAAAACCAUUGAAAAUAGAACUUGUUUAUGAAAACGCUUUGCCAGAAUAAAGUAUUAAACAGCCUUAUGCGGAGCAACGAGAAACUAUUACUUUCUGGCUCAGUGAUAAUUCGCCCCAUGGAAGUCGCAACUUUCGUUAAAACAAUUCCAAUUUUCCUAUAAUUAGAACACUCUGCGCUUGUCUUUUGUUAAAUCAUCCAGUCAAAUAAAAUUCCUAAUAGAACCGUUGUCAGGCGAAUGAAUCGACCCGAUUUCACCGUUUCUUCAAAAUAAUCUAAUUGUCGUUUCAUUUGUAGCGUGGUCAGUGUAUUUUUCCCAUGUGUGUUGUAACGUAAAGUAACACAUUAACUUAAAAGUAACGUAAUAAGAAGAGAAAAUCGAAGCGUGUGUCAGACGUUUAACCCAACUUAUUCACUGUGUCACGACCACUGACAAUGAACGCCGUAGCAAAUACCAGAGAGGUACAGCGUCAGCAAGUUUAGAACGCAAAAUAUGCAACGCUAAGUUCCUCCUUUGUCAAAGCUAUUAAUCAGUCGUGCGUGUUACGAGCGUUUCAGCAGUUCGCAGUCUGAGAAAGAAUCUACGAACCAGAAGUGGGCAAUUCUUUUUUAACGGGUCUGUCAUGAAACGAAUAAAUGAAAAAGCGAGGAACGAUUUGCUCCUUUCAAAACACUCGAGAAAGUUAUAAACGUUCUGUAAUAGGCUGUCCAAUGUUUUUAAACCUUCGUGACGAACAAUUCCUGUACAGUUAAUGUUUCACAGCGCUGAAUGAUACCUCACAACUCUGCGUCGUUCCGAUUUUUUAUAUCUACCUCAUUACUUUUUAAUCGUUGUCUUUAACCAUUGAAUUUAUUAUUGAAUUUAAUUACUAUCGCGCUAUCAUACGAAUAACAUAACGAUCUACCAAGUCUACAAGAUAUCCUCACCUGUAUUCAUUGAACGUCAUUAACGACGCGAUGGAUCAUUAAACGACGUUCAUAUCAGUCCUCUGAAUAAAUCCUAUCUAAAAUCCUAAAUAAUCAGUCUUAGAAUAAAUACAAUGGUUGUGUAUAAAGUAGUUACACUGUGUUUCGUAUUGUUUAAGCUUGAUUCACACCAACGGUCAAAUCGGGUGAAGCAUCGGUCAAGAUCGUUUGCACGUUCGGUCGAGUCAAACGAAAAACUGUGGCGUCGGUUUCAUAACGAUCAACACCGCCAUCGACAGUCGAAAGGGAACACGGAGAACGAGCGUUUAAAUUGAGUUUGUACCGAAAUUACAGCGAACUACGUGACUUUAGUCGCAAGAAAUAGUGUGUCAACUUGCAUGCACCUACGCGACCGUUAAGACUAGCACAACCUUUCCUUGUGCAGAGACACUUGUCUUCCUCCUCCACUAGGGAUCCUAUUAGUUGCAUUUGUGAAACUGUGAACUCUGUGAGUAACGACAUCGGUUCGCUUACCACGUCGACUCAGUCCCUCGAAACCUAACUUCUUCAAACGAAUUCGACGAAUGUUUUAUGAAAUACGUUCUUUCUUCUCCGUCUUUCUCCUUAUACCCGUGAUUUAUUCAUUUAUUCUUUUCCUUGCCUAUUUCCUUCUUACGCACUGGGUAUAUUUACUUUUUUACUUAUGCUUCGCAAGCGUACGAAUUGCAGUUUAUUAUUUAUUGCUUUGAUUCAAGUUGCACUUUUACGCGCGUCUCCGGUUAAUACACAGUCGAUUGACUCGGAUAGCCAGGAGACCUGGCAAUCACCUGAUCGCAACGAUCGAUCGCGUUCUAAUCGUCUCUCUACGGUUCCAAACUCGAAUUGUCUAAUGUUCAACAAAUUGCCAGGGAAGGUGAAAAUAACGGAAAAUUAAAAUAAGGAUUUUGAUUGUUCGGAUUGCGACGAAGAAUACAAGAUUGCGAGAAAGUUGUACAGAAGAAGAGCUUUCUUCGUAAAUUCAAAAGCUCUAACCCAUUCCAUUUGUUACUUGUUCCGAAUGAUUGGGAAUAUUCCAAGGAAGGAAAGUGGCGGAUGAAAACAGAAGAAGAAAGCAAUAAAGACAACGACAAACGUUUCAAAAUCAGAGAUCAAUUUCUAACGUCAAUGAGUAGCUGCCCCAAGAUAAAAUCGUCACAUCAUAUCGUACGUCCUAAAAAAGUUAAAAGUCGCUUGUCAUGCGAAAAAGUUACAUAAAUAAUCGGUAAUUAUGCACGGAAGCGGAGACUCGACUCCAAUGACCUUGACCUUGAGCUAUGUCGUAAAGGGGAAGGUUCUGAGUAACAUGCACGUUGGCCGCGGCUUGCGACGAUCGCUUCUCUCUACGACAAAUCCGAAAUUCAACGAAAUUGGAAUUGAGGCUUUUGUGACAAAUAACCUUCGUAUUGUAUCAAUGAUAUCGCGCGAUAAAAGGCAAAAUAACAAAAACUGUACUACCGAUACCAUCGUUCUGUUUUGUUUCGAGGGAACAAAUUUUCCGCCGAAGAAUUUUCCCUACGACAAAAAAUUCAUGAGUAGCCGAAGGUGGUGAAAUUAGGUGAAUCUCGCGCUGUACGCUAGGCUGAGGAGGAAGAAUUUCGAGAGCGAACUUGUAGCCAGCCGGUGCACUAUCUGUGCGAUUGCAGAGGACUGAUUGUGCCGACCUACUUCCCGAGACAAUCGCACAAUGCCGGAGGGGGGUGUUGGAAGGGGGUUGGUUCGGGGUUGUGCUGGAAGGACAGCCUUCUCUUGAAGAGCGAACGAAGAACGACUGCUUUCGCUGUUUUACGUGACGUCAAGGUCGUUGUAUCGACGAUCGAGGAGACAAGCUUUCGCCUUUUUGCCUGGCGUUUGGAAAGAUUAUAUUGUGUUGGUAUCGGCGCAAUCGUACGAAUCUCGCUUUUAUUAAAUUGAGAAUUCAUCGAUUUUCGAGGGAACGCGUAUUUAUGUAAACGAGGUAAAUAAAAUAAAUAAAUAUGUAUAAUUGAAUUAACGGAUACGCGUCAUAGUAAAUAAUUGGCUAAUUUCGGCGAAUACUUAACUGAUUAAUUUUUCGGAAUCUCGAGGGCUUGCAUAUUUUACGAUAACAAAUGAAAUAUAACGUUAAUUGGAAUUUCGAACGACGUUGCUAGCCGAAUAUUUAGCUAAUUAAUUUUAGUGCUUUUUCGAAAGUUUUCAUCCCUAAAAUCCAGCGACGGUGAAACAAACAUUCCGUUCGCCGAACUUUUCAAAUCUAAUUACUUUUUAGACUCUACUAAUUAUUUCUCAUAAUAUUAAUUUACAUUGUUAAACGGAAUUCAAAGUUUGUUUCUGUUUCACUCGAUGCACAGAGCUAACUAAAUUUCAAGCUUGCCGCGAAAUGAAAGAUAUGGCUCCUAUUAUGGCUGAAUCUAGAGGCAUUGAAUUUACAUAUUUAAUAGAGCAACCCAUUUUUCCCGGUAUCGAUCACCUGUGCCGAAGGAUUAACCCGCUGUAAUGCCGUGUAAUUUAGAGGUUACUAUGCGAUUACAUUGACACAAGUUCUAACACUGACUUCGCCUUAACUAGCCAAAAAAUCUGCCUAUACAAGGUGGUUGAUAACUAGUGGUACAAGCGGAAAGAGGGUGAUUCUACGCGAAAAAAGAAGUCGAAAAUAUAGAAUAAAAAUUUUUUUUUUAAUUUUUCCAUCGAGACAACGAUCUACAGUGAGAUCCGUUAUAACGAGACGUGAUAAAGUGCACGCGUACCGAGCGAAAAUUCAAAGUCGAUUUUCUCGAAAGCAAAGCCUCGAACGAAAAAUUUUUAUUCUAUAUUUUCGACUUCUUUUUUCGCGUAGGAUCACCCCCUUUCCGCUUGUACCACCAGUUACCAACCACCCUGUAUAAUUUCUUUCUAAAUGUUAGCGUUCUAUUUUAAUUGCUUAACAGUGUCUCUUAUUCGAUAUCUACGUUACAAUACCACUACCAAAUAAUUUAUUUAUCUUUACUUAUCUAUCUUACUUCUUUCUAAUUUUUAGACUAAAGUAAAAAGCUACAAUCAAUUAUUGUUGUUGUUGGUGUCGUUACAUUUAUUAUACUGGUAACACCCUUUGAUACAGACAAAGAUCGAUACAAGUGAACGAAUAACGAACAAUUACUAGGAAAUCACACAUGUUGCGAUAAUAAACACGAAUUGUCGAUGACAUUUCUAAUAUGUUUGUUAAACCAGAUUCACAAAAAAAGAUGGAGCAAAUGGGCGAGUAAAUUGAGAUAUUUGCAGAUACGAUUGAUACAGAUAGUGUCAUACUUAGUGUUGUAGAAAGAUGUGUGAAAUAAUGGAAGCUCGCUGAAAGCCCCAAAUGGAACAUUAAGCUUAAAAAACUGAAGAAUUUCUGCGCGGUCUGACCUUAUAAUAAUUAUAAUCUUGCCUUCCCCAAUAAGCGAAUAAAAUCCAAACUAUGACAGGGUUAGGAAGAAAAGUAUGGCAGAGAAAGCAUGGAGUAUAAUUAUUCCAGACAAAGCAGAUUUCUCGAUAGGUGUGACAACAAUAUCAGCUCGUAAUGAACAGAAACGAGCCGAAUUUCGGUUGUUCUCCGAAGAAUUAGCCAUGCUGUUUGCCGUAUCGGCAAAUUCGUGGGAUCUUUCCUCUGGAAUUCGAUUAAUUAGCUAUCCAGGUCAUCGAUAAACUAUCGACACGUAGACCAACGGUUUCCUGUCAUCGAGCUCGGCUACUGACCAGAAUUUCCAUUCUUCGCGCAUUCGACGAGAUAAGGACGAACAUAGUCCGAUCGAUGAGAUUAUCUCAUGAAGAAUUUUUCUCUUCCUUCGUGUUUAGUUUCUUCUUUUUCUGAGUACGUGCGUGUUUCUUUUACGUAGACCGAAUGGGCCCGAUAACGACGCUAACAAAAUAAUUGCGACGUUCGUUAUACGGCUGGAAGUGUUACCGAGAGAAACGAUGAAAGAGCACAAUCGUUGCAUCGUGUUGCACCAUAACGACAAGGAGGAAAAGGCGAUGAAAUUUUAGUAGACGAUUAGUUAAUUUCCGAUGUCGGCUAGUUCUAAUGGAAGGAACGAGCAAGCCAGCGAGGGAUUUUUUCCAUUUAAUGAAAACGCUUCGAAGCCUUUUUAUCGUAGACUUGAGAAAUUUGAUUUCGAAUAAAAUCGUGAAACCUGCUGCGAUUCCAACUUUAACUUUAACUAAGAUCGAUGGACCUGUGAUAUUUAAUAAUUGAGAAAAUGAUAAAAAAUUAAGUAAUCCAGAUACGUAUGGUUCUCAUGAAAGGAAACAGGAAAGUACGAAAAUUGAAAUCUCAAGCUUCCUACUCUGCUUUGAUAAUUACAAAUUUGAAAUUCUAUUUGCUACGAAACGAAGAUACGCGCUGCACAUCGGAUAUCAAAUUUUUGCGAACGAUAACGACCACCAUCUAACUGUUGGCAAAUUUCCUACUGCUACACAGGAUGUAUCUAUUGGGUUGGCAACUAAGUGAUUGCGGAUGUUGUCAUUAGGUGGUACGAUAAAAUCCGCAAUCACUUAGUUGCCUUCCUAAUAGAUUAAAGCUGAGCGUUCUUAACACGUUGCGAUGGAAAAAUAUCUGCCCUCUGUAUUAAAGGAGAGACUGUGAGAUAAGACUGGAAGAAAAUGAAAAUUACUAUCGCCAGCAUCUUCACUGUGCUGACUCGCGCUUCGAAUACCAAGUUUCCAGUUUUAGAAAAAAUUGCAUAAAGAAUACAAAACGUGUAUUGGAGAAAAAUUAACUACAAAAGAAAAAAAAACAUUGCUAGUUACUGUGCUUGAUAAUGGAACUUUACAUCAGAGUGGUAAUUCAUAAUUUUUUUUUUUUUUUUUUGGAAAUUUAAACAGUACAAGUCUAACAGCAUAGAUUUUUGGGAAUUUCAACGAUUUCUUGCAUUUCUGAAAAACGCGUGCAAGUUCGUGUUUCUCCUUGCAUCGCGUGUUUCUUCGUGUAUCUUUUAUUUCCAUUUUUCUUUCAUACGAGUCUAGUUUCUUCAUUUUUAAUGGUUCUAGCGUUAAUUAUCAAAGUAGAUGAGAAAAAAGAUUGUCAUCUUAGAUCGAUGUACUGUAACGUGGUAUGUUACGCACAUCGAUAUUGCGUGAUUGUAUAUCGUAAAUUGUGCCACGCUAUAUUUCAUAAAAAAUGAUACGCUAUUGCAACAUACUUGUAUACUAGUUACAACGUUAUAAAUUUUAUACUAUCGGCAAUAUGUAUUUAUAACCUCGGAGAAAAUAAUGUAGAAUGUAGAUUACGAAGUGGGACGAGAAAAAUUAUGAUUAUGAAAAACGAUGCUAUAACUACGUACUAGUGAAAAAAAUGUAAGAGGAAAAUUGUCAUUUUUGUAUCUAUGCUGUAUGCUGGAAAUAGUUACGCACUGUUAUUAAUUAUUAAUCAGAAAAUGCGUAUAGUAUAAUCGAGUAUAUUUCAAUGAAAUCAAUUCAAUCUGCAAGAGUGAUGGUUAAACGAACCUAUUAGUUGAUACAUAGUCGUAAAAACACGAUGAUUAAAGAGCGAAAACAAAACGAUUUGAGAGUUCAAAGAGCAACGACAACUGACAAAAUAUUUGUCUCACAAUAAUUUAAAAUAUUACGAUUCUCCAUUGGAAUAAAACGUUGCGAAAUAAAUGGAAAUAAAUUUCCCUUUAUUUCCUUUUGCAAAUAUUCCUAUGCAAAUUAUCGUAUUAUUGUGCUAUACAUUGUUAUACGCAUAUGAAGAGUCCACAAGAAAAAGAGGAAUUUUAAUUUAAUGGAGAAUUCUCCCGUGUGUGCCCUUUACCACUUGCUAUGUCGUAUUAAUUUCAAUUAGAAUUUCCUGAGUUGCACAUAAUUGAAAGAAAGUGAUUCGUAUAACGUACUUCUUAUUUUUUACUUGUUAAACUUGUUUUACUUGUUUUUUUAUUUGUUAAAAGUUGAAAAUGACGCGGAAUAAAAUGAGAAAUAAAACGUUUUCUUUUUUAAUAUUUAUGAAAAAAUAUGAAGUUGUGACAUUGUACAGGGUACAACAGAAUAUCUGGCACCCACAGAAUAUUGGCAGCUGAUCGUACAAAAUUAUAUUAUUAUUGUAUUAUUGUACAAUUGUAUUAUUUAUCGUACUAAAAACGAUGAAAAGGUUCAUACAAACAUAUGUUCUAUCUGUGUCCGUUUAUGAUAUUUAACGAAUUUUCUGUUCUGAUUUUGUCAUAUUUAAUCAACUUCACAGAAAAUGCACAAAAUGACGUUCCGUUUCAAAGCAAAGACGUGUCGUCACGAACGAUGCUUCUCAAAUAUAUCUAAAAGCUUGUUCCAUUCUGAAUUUUAAUAUUUCAAUAUUUUCAGUAGGUUUGCUCUGUUUACAAAAUUCGUUAUAUCUCAUAAACUUACACAGACAGAGCAUAUGUUUGUACGAACUCUUUUAUUCUUUUCAGGUAUACAAUCAACUGAAAAUGCUAAAAAUUCUUACUUUGUCCGAGUCUGGUUCCCAAAUUUUCCCAAAUUUAUUAAAAAGCUUGUCCUGUUCUGAAUCUUAGUAUUUCAACACUUUCAAUAGGUUUGCUGCCAUUAAAAAAUUCCUUAUAUUUCACAAACGGAAAUAUAACAUAAACAGUAUACGCUUAUAUGAAUAAUUUGAAAGUUUAUAUGAAUUAUCUUUUUCUAUUCUUUUUACAUGUACUGUAUAUUGAGAAAGACAUUCUCGCUUUCUGAGAAACAUUGAAAUUUGGCAUUCUUCUUUCUUCCCGUGAACCUUUCAUCUAUAAAUGAUCAGUGAAAAGGAACACGAUUGUAUCAACAACAAUCGCAAGGAUCGCAAGGAUACUACCUGGAGCGUGCUGAGAGCAAGAAAACGCGCAGGAAUAGAGCUUCUCGUGUUGUAUUCAUCACGAACGCGUGGUUGUCACGACACAUUGUGCACCUCCUCCUUUCCAUUUACGUUGGCAGAAUCGAUGAUCGAUUGAACGCGAGGGAAAAAAUAUGUACCAGUCGUGAUACCACCCCUGGAGAAAUAUCUCUCCAAGCAGAGAAACAAGCCCACAAAGCACCGUUUCAAAUAUAAAAUAGAUUACCCUGGUGACAGAAGAAAAUAUCGAUUUCAACCAACGAGAAUACAAUUUCUAUUAUCCAUCGAGGGUCUCAUUGCGUUGGUGUUACAACGUGAAGAAUAAUAAAAGUUAGUAAAAAGAAAUUGUUUCGAAUCUUUCGCCAGUCUUCUGCCUUUGUUAAUGAAGAGUUAAAUUCGUAGCUUUGUCGUUGAACCGGAGAAAAAUUUGAAAAAUUAUCUUAUUAUUUUCAAUCAUAAUUUUAUUUCGUUCGCUUUUGUAUAUCAAACUAAAUUAAUAAGAAUUCCGCGAGCUUCUAACACUAGCGACUAACAGAGAGCAACUUUGAUUACCAAUUGUUUAUGGUGGUCGAAAAUUAUUCUUCGAACAUCCUAGAACUACGUUCUUCGUGAAUUACGUUACAAGUUUUGCAAAGUAUUUACCGAUUCAGUUUCAAUACGGAAACGAGCGAAACGAACUUAUAAUUGGAAAGCUCGUGCCUGAACAAUUUUUCGGAUUUAAUUGUAGUAAUUUCGCCGCUGCAGACGCGGUUUAGCCGUCGAUCGCACGUUCCUCGAGUCUUUUAUUAAUUUGGUGAAACAGGGGCCGCUCGAAGGAAUUCUCAGUAUUUCCUAUCCUAACUUUUAUUUCAUUACGCCCACUUCGAAAGAUAUGAAAAUUACAGAGUUUAAACAUCGCACGCCGGCCAUUGUGUUCGUCGAUAAAAUUUAUUUCCAUCCCGGUCAGCGAGAGGAAACCAUUAAAGAGAAAAGUUGCCAAUGUAAGUUGAGUUACCGUGAGUUGUAAAAUCCCGAUAAUUUCAACGUUUCGUCGGGGACGUCUCGAGCAAAAUUAAAUUAACCGUCGAGCGUCUAUCGCCCGAAGACAUCACUCCAUCUUAUGCAUUUCCAACGUGUCCCACGGUAUUCAAUAUUUCUACGUACGUACUAUACGUACAUCGUUUUUCACUCGUAUUUUCACGGUCCUUUAAGCUUUCAGGAAUCUCGUCGAACGAGAUUUUUCCUAUCGACUACCCUCAACCCUUUUAUAUCCUAGAAUUUUUACAUAUUUUUAUAGACGAAUAUGUUUGAUAUUGUCUCUAAAUUAUACUAUGCUAGUUUUAUACUUAAAAAAUGUGCUUGUAUUGAUACAGUGAAUAUAACUGGUUGCUAAAUCACAUGUUUGUGAUCAAAGAAAGUCGCUUUAAUGCUAUAUGUAAAGACGAUGUUCGUUUACCAAGCUUCUAAACAAUAUUGUAGUAGUAUCGUUACGAAACGAUGAUGUUAAAAUAAAAUUUCUAUGAAGUAAAAUUUCAUCUAUGAUAACCUUGGACUGUUCAGUUUCGCGAUAUGUAAACGUCGUAUUCCAAAUCCAAAUGAAACAUUCUAUCGCGUACGUUGAAUAGAACAUAAGAUAGAUAUCGUUCGAGUAUUACCUUCAGACCAAGUACAUAUUUACAAAUAUCAAAAUCUCUGAAUACGUUCGUUUCAUCCUCAAAAACGUUCAAGAGCAAGCCAUUCAACCGCGAACAUUUCCAUGAUACAAGAAAGCAUUUCUAACAUUCUUCUCCACCGUAGUCCGUACAAAUUUUCUACUUCAACAAUUUCUAUACGCAUCGUUUUAUUAAGUGCUACAUCGCGCGUUUGCUUCACACUUUCUAACGCAUAAAUCAGCCGCAUGAUUAAUAUUCCAAUGUCGUGAAUUUGAAAUAAAUAUUCGGAUAGCGCCCCUGUCAAAGUAAAAAUCCACAACAGAACAUCGAUAUUCCUCCGCAACGUCCUUUCAUCCCCACAAAAUAUACAAAGCCAUUACUUAUUUUAACGACCGCUAUUUUCUACAUCCUGAAACCUUCGAUAUUUAUCUCUUCGAUAAUAUUUAUAAUCUUCGAUAUAUCGUGGUAGUAUCAAUAAAAAAAAACGUCUAUCCCUCCUUUUAAAGGGAAUAAGACGACCGUAAUGCAAGCAAUAAGUUAUCGACAGAACGAUAAACAAUGGUUGGGAAGCACGUUAGUUUGCAUUGCAUAUUGACCUACCGCAAUCUCGUGCUGACCGUGCACCAGCGUACCGGCAACAUUAUCGGGGAGUUAGCACGUACCUCAUAUUGGAUUACGAGGAAUCCUCUUAUGAUACGCACGCAGUCUUCAAGGCCGCCCGGCGACCUUUGGCAUUACGACAAAUCGAAAGGAGUACGUCGCCUGUGGAAUUUGUCGCCUGCAAUCGUGUUACGAUAAACAUACAAGUUCGAGCCUCGUUUUCAGAUUGAUUUUCAUCCCUGAAGCCUCCUAGAGACAAACGCGAUAAUCAAGAAAACGGUGGAAGUUGAGUGACUGAUUCAGAUAUUUGUUACGCUUGUCGAAUAAAUAAUUAGAAAUUUCGGGAAUGGAAAGCAGUAUCACACGUACAAGAAUUAAAAAUGCAAUUGUACGCGAAUGGGAUACGUUAAGUCAAAAUUAUAUCCAGAAAAUAUACAGGGUGGUUGGUAACUGAUGGUACAAGCGGGAAGGGGGUGAUUCUACGCGAAAAAAGAAGUCGAAGAUAUAGAAUAAAAAAAAUUUUUUUUUUUUUUUAAUUUUUCCAUCGAGACAACGACCUACAGUGAGAUCCGUUAUAACGAGACGUGAUAAAGUGCACGCGUACCGAACGAAAAUUCAAAGUCGAUUUUCUCGAAAGCAAAGCCUCGAACGAAAAAUUUUUAUUCUAUAUUUUCGACUUCUUUUUUCGCGUAGAAUCACCCCCUUUCCGCUUGUACCACCAGUUACCAACCACCCUGUAUAAAUCGAUAGCAAAUUGUACAAUAGAAGUAACAGAAAAUAAAGGGGGUGUAGCUAUUAUUAAAUAAGUAUAUAUGUUUGAUAAGUAAUCAUUGUUAGUUACAAUUUAUGUUGAUUAUUAUUUUCUUAUUGUACAUGUGUUAUCACUUCGUUCUUAAAAUAAGACAAUUUUUUUUUUUUGUUACAUACUAAACCUCAUAAUAUUUUUAAUUAUUUUCAACGAACCGCAUAUUCUGAGCUCAUAAUGUUUUUAUAUUAUACGUUACAGACGAAAAACCUUACACGCGUCAUUGAGAAAUUAAAGGUAGCACACCUGGGUUAUCUUUUUGACGAGGAGUGUAGGUUAUUUAAUUUGUUAUUAUUUAAUUUAUUUUUUGGCUAGUUAUUUAUGUAUUCUAUAUCUUAUUCGAUAAAGACGAUCAAUGCGAGUUUACGUAGAGUUGAGGAUAGAGAAAAGGUAACAUUUUGCAGCGUGUUGUUUUAUUGAUUAAUUUAGAUUAAUAAUUAAAUUAAUCAUUUUUAAUUUACACUAAUAUCGUAGGGGCUCUUGGUAGAUUUCUCGUGUACAAUUUGCAUUUUUUUUUUACUGUAAUUUGAAUUGGAAUUAUAAUUUGAAAGGCUCAGAUUUUUUUCUCUUUGUUGUCGCUUGGAAAUAGAAUAACAUUAAUUUCUCUCUCGUCUCUUUACAAAUAUCGAAAGAAAACUAUAACACCUAAACAGAAACGAAUUACUUCAUCGUUCGCGGAACAUUGCCUGGUAUUUCAUUCUCCACGUAAUAAAUAGUCUGUCUUGGAGAUUAUCUACACUUGCAAGAAGAAUUUAUACCUGAACUUAUUUAAUCUUCGGUUUCGAAUCGUUCGAACUAUGCUGAUGGUGCGCGUACAACGAUCGUGAAACUUGAUCACGUUCGUCAUUCGAAACGAGUUUAUAAACUGCAGAAGUCGAAGAAUACCUUCCCAACAAUGUACAUUGGUAGGACUGUGUUCGUCUUUGAGAAACGGAGCAAAGGGGUAAGAGGCGGAAACAGGGAAAAAUUGAGUCACGUUACGUGUGCCGCGAUCGAAAGCUUCGGUAAACCUACUUGUCCGCGAAUUAGGUCAGCGUAACCAUUCGAAAUCUUUUCUACGUACAUAAUCUGCACACGAGUAUCACUUUUUCAGCGUGACUGUUUGCCUGAAGGCUGGACACAAAAGAUUAUAUCGGUUCAGACGCGCACAAUGCAUCAAAAAUACGAUGGACGAGAAAUAGCAUGAUCUCUAUAAGUGUAUCGGCAACAACAUUUCUCAUACGAUCUCACGCUCCGACAGAUAUCGGUGAACAAUUUCGUCACGAUGAAAUACGUGAAUCAUGUUGCUCCAGUGAUUUAUCACUGAAUAUAUUAUAGAAUAUAAUAGAACAAUAUAGAGUAGUAUAGUAGAAUAUCCUUGGUUUGAUAUACAUAUUGAAUAUACAGGAUGUUCUAUUUUUAUUGAUCCAUACAAAUUUCUAUGUAUAAAUUAUCCGAAAAAGUGUUAAAUAAAUUAUUCGAAAAAAUGUUUCAAAUGAAGCUACCACCAACAGAUUUGUUUAACUGGAGGCGUUCUCGAGAUCUCGAGGCGACCUUUGUUUUUUAUUUUUUUUUUUUUUUUUUUUUUUUUUUUAUGGAGCUACAUAUACAUUUUUUAUCCAUCAUUCGAUGCAAUCUUUAAUACUCUGAAAGAAAAGGUAUUUACGCGUGAAAAUGUUUAUCUUCCAAUGUUCAUUUUAUGGAAUCGAGUGUAUGAAAGACGAGGGGAACAUAAAUAUAAAAGCACUGCGUUUACUCCUCUUGCCAUUACGGUACGUUUCACGAGAUUAAAGUUAGAAUGUUUUUUAAGCUAAUAAUCAUUUUUCCACCCAAUACUUUUAUAUACGAUUUCUUAAUACUUUCGUGCAGAGAAUUACAAAAUACAUGGUAUGGUGUAUAAAAACAGGAGUGUAGUUGCAUUUAAAGAAACAAUGAUAAGGAAAU